GUGGCCAUUGGAGCCUCAGAGGGGAGCUACGUGCUGCAGAGUUUGAAAAAUUGCGGCAGAGACUCUAAGUAACUCAGUGAAGUCUCUUAAAACAACACAUUUUGAGAGGAGAACGUACCAACCGAAGCUCAACGUUAAAGACCAGCCGAACAUUAAAAUCAACCAGAAGUUGAAAGACAGAGGGGGAGGAUACAAGAGGUGUUUUUCCAGGAGGUGGUUUAGCAACUAGGCCAAUAUAAAGGCGUGCAGCGAGAUGAAUGCUUGGUUUUGUUUCCCCUGCCUACUUAUUCUGUCGUCAGGAUGUGAGGAGCCCGCAUGGACAAGAACAGAGAUUCCGUCCCUACUCUCUUUGGAGAACAUAGAGGUGGUGUAUCGCAGCAGGCCAAGAAACGUUGCACACUGGGCCCAGGUGAUCUUCAGAAGAUAGCUACAGAGGCUCAAGACCCCGACUGGACCAUCUGCCAACAUCCCCCAGACGCACAGCUCUGGUGUCCUUGAGCAAGACACUGAUACCCCGAAAUGCUCCCCGGGUGCUUCAGCUGCCCCCUGCUCCAGUGUGUUCCACUAACAUGUGUAUGUGUUCACUGU